rnacentral:rRNA from 1 species
AUACGGAGGGGGCUAGCGUUGUCCGGAUUUACUGGGCGUAAAGCGCGCGUAGGCGGGCUGGUCAGUUGGGGGUGAAAUCCCGAGGCUAAACCUCGGAACUGCCCUCAAUACUGCCAGUCUUGAGUUCGAGAGAGGUGAGUGGAAUUCCUAGUGUAGAGGUGAAAUUCGUAGAUAUUGGGAAGAACACCAGUGGCGAAGGCGGCUCACUGGCUCGAUACUGACGCUGAGGUGCGAAAGCGUGGGGAGCAAACAGGAUUAGAUACCCCAGUAGUCC